CUAACGUCCGUCGUGAAGAGGGAAACAACCCAGACCGCCAGCUAAGGUCCCAAAGUCAUGGUUAAGUGGGAAACGAUGUGGGAAGGCCCAGACAGCCAGGAUGUUGGCUUAGAAGCAGCCAUCAUUUAAAGAAAGCGUAAUAGCUCACUGGUCGAGUCGGCCUGCGCGGAAGAUGUAACGGGGCUAAACCAUGCACCGAAGCUGCGGCAGCGACACUAUGUGUUGUUGGGUAGGGGAGCGUUCUGUAAGCCUGUGAAGGUGUGCUGUGAGGCAUGCUGGAGGUAUCAGAAGUGCGAAUGCUGACAUAAGUAACGAUAAAGCGGGUGAAAAGCCCGCUCGCCGGAAGACCAAGGGUUCCUGUCCAACGUUAAUCGGGGCAGGGUGAGUCGACCCCUAAGGCGAGGCCGAAAGGCGUAGUCGAUGGGAAACAGGUUAAUAUUCCUGUACUUGGUGUUACUGCGAAGGGGGGACGGAGAAGGCUAUGUUGGCCGGGCGACGGUUGUCCCGGUUUAAGCGUGUAGGCUGAUUUUCCAGGCAAAUCCGGAAAAUCAAGGCUGAGGCGUGAUGACGAGGCACUACGGUGCUGAAGCAACAAAUGCCCUGCUUCCAGGAAAAGCCUCUAAGCAUCAGGUAACAUCAAAUCGUACCCCAAACCGACACAGGUGGUCAGGUAGAGAAUACCAAGGCGCUUGAGAGAACUCGGGUGAAGGAACUAGGCAAAAUGGUGCCGUAACUUCGGGAGAAGGCACGCUGAUAUGUAGGUGAAGCGACUUGCUCGUGGAGCUGAAAUCAGUCGAAGAUACCAGCUGGCUGCAACUGUUUAUUAAAAACACAGCACUGUGCAAACACGAAAGUGGACGUAUACGGUGUGACGCCUGCCCGGUGCCGGAAGGUUAAUUGAUGGGGUUAGCGGUAACGCGAAGCUCUUGAUCGAAGCCCCGGUAAACGGCGGCCGUAACUAUAACGGUCCUAAGGUAGCGAAAUUCCUUGUCGGGUAAGUUCCGACCUGCACGAAUGGCGUAAUGAUGGCCAGGCUGUCUCCACCCGAGACUCAGUGAAAUUGAACUCGCUGUGAAGAUGCAGUGUACCCGCGGCAAGACGGAAAGACCCCGUGAACCUUUACUAUAGCUUGACACUGAACAUUGAGCCUUGAUGUGUAGGAUAGGUGGGAGGCUUUGAAGUGUGGACGCCAGUCUGCAUGGAGCCGACCUUGAAAUACCACCCUUUAAUGUUUGAUGUUCUAACGUUGGCCCGUUAUCCGGGUUGCGGACAGUGUCUGGUGGGUAGUUUGACUGGGGCGGUCUCCUCCUAAAGAGUAACGGAGGAGCACGAAGGUUGGCUAAUCCUGGUCGGACAUCAGGAGGUUAGUGCAAUGGCAUAAGCCAGCUUGACUGCGAGCGUGACGGCGCGAGCAGGUGCGAAAGCAGGUCAUAGUGAUCCGGUGGUUCUGAAUGGAAGGGCCAUCGCUCAACGGAUAAAAGGUACUCCGGGGAUAACAGGCUGAUACCGCCCAAGAGUUCAUAUCGACGGCGGUGUUUGGCACCUCGAUGUCGGCUCAUCACAUCCUGGGGCUGAAGUAGGUCCCAAGGGUAUGGCUGUUCGCCAUUUAAAGUGGUACGCGAGCUGGGUUUAGAACGUCGUGAGACAGUUCGGUCCCUAUCUGCCGUGGGCGCUGGAGAACUGAGGGGGGCUGCUCCUAGUACGAGAGGACCGGAGUGGACGCAUCACUGGUGUUCGGGUUGUCAUGCCAAUGGCACUGCCCGGUAGCUAAAUGCGGAAGAGAUAAGUGCUGAAAGCAUCUAAGCACGAAACUUGCCCCG
rnacentral:rRNA from 1 species